GAUAGCAAGGCAAUUCUUCCGAUUAGCUUGUCAUUCAUACGACAUAACUUAGACAGAAGUCAAAAGGCUGUUUGGGGUUGUAUGGUUAAGUGACGAAGCGUAUACGGUGGAUGCCUUGGCAGUUAGAGGCGAUGAAGGACGUGUAAGUCUGCGAAAAGCUGUGGUGAGCCGACAAAAUGCAUUUGAGCCACAGAUGUCCGAAUGGGGAAACCCACCUGUUUACAGGUAUCGUUACGUGAAUACAUAGCGUAACGAGGCGAACGAGGGGAACUGAAACAUCUAAGUACCCUUAGGAAAAGAAAUCAAUUGAGAUUCCCCUAGUAGCGGCGAGCGAACGGGGAACAGCCCUUAAGCUGUAUUGAAUGUAGUGGAAUCCUUUGGGAAGAGGAGCGAUACAAGGUGAUAGCCCUGUACACGACGCAAU
rnacentral:rRNA from 1 species